ACACCAAUUCGACCCCAAUGAUGGCUGAUCUCUCCCGCUGUCUCGUAAAAUUACACUCCUUCCUGAUGAACUCUGGGGACCCCUCUUCCUGCAGCCUUGUCCUUGGGGAGUAGAGGGAAAUACCUGCAGUGACCCUGCCCCCACGACAUUGGCCAGGCAGGACAAUUCUGGAGCCUGUACUGUGGGGAUCCUCACUGGCCAGCCCAGCCCUGUCUGCAAGCCAGGCUGGGCCUGGGUGUCACUUCGCUGGGCUCUCCCUAGGCUAUCAGCAGUGAAUACCCCCACACCCGCCACUGGGAGCCUGGGCUCUCUGUCAGUCCCUUGGUCUCUGGCCUGGGCCUGGGCUGCUCUGCUGCCUGCCCUCCUUUGUGUAUCAAGUGUCACUCACAGUCCCAUUCACUGGGGAGCCUUUCGGAUCUAUUUGGUCUUUCUCGUGCCCCCACUGGUCUGUACCCCGGGGAAGGGGUGCUUGUACUGUGAAUCCAGUGUUCACAUUCACACUUAAUGACUUCCUUGGCACAAAUCAUGUAUUUCACCAUUUGCACUUUUUGUAUUUCAAUAAAAAUAGAGAUGCAAAACUG